AAGAUUGUGCUUUUGGUAGUUUCCCUUUUAGGCAGAGGUGAAAACCUCGAACUAACUUUAAAGGUCAAGUCAUAAACACACCUGUGCUCUAAGGUGUGCCCUAAGUCUCUCAAUUCUGUGUGCCUCAUGAAUAUGGCAAAGCCCUCAGCCAUUCUACUAAAAGAGACCAAUGAAACAUGCUGAUUUUAGAUUCAGUGAAGCCCAGUUUCUCAGGAUAACGCACACACAGCUCUGUCACUCUAAUCUAUACAGGACUCUAAUCUAUACAGGACAAGAACUAGCCUGCAGUCGGAAGCCCAGCCUGUCCUUUGGGCAUUGUGUCUGUAGCUAACAACCUUGCUAGUUAAUAUAACAGUAGCUUAUAUAAGUUAUGGUGGGAAAAACCCUAUGGUAAUGUGCAUUUUUACCAGUUAGUAAGAAAUCCUCUCAUAGAAACAGAACGUAAUUAAUUUGACACGAGCACAUGUCAUUUUGCUAUUUUCCUAUGGUAAGGGGAAAAAAAAAGAUUUUACAACUCUGCUUGCUCCCUUCUCAAACUUGGAUAAGCUACUUCAAUUUAAAUAAGUAUUUCAAUUUGUUUUUGGUAUUAUUUUUGAUUUUCCGAUUUCAAAUAUACAUCCAGUUGUAUUCCUACACAGAAAGAAGAGACCUUGUCUAAUAAAUGUGAGCCUUGUCUAAGAAACACCAAGAAAACAGGCAAGAAAUAGUAUGUACUUUUCUGUAUGGAUGUUAAAACAAUAUCACUAAUAUAAUUUUGGAAAGAACUCUCACUCCUGCUGUUUGGAAAGCAAAUGAGCUAAUGCUAUAAUUUCUCUUCUUGAUAAGAUUCAUCAGCGGUUGAUUCCCAAAACUGCAUGUCUAAAUAUUUACUGGUGCACCUUUUCCAAGAAAAGUCCAGCAUCUUUCAUGAAACAUUCUCUCGUUUCACCACGCACAAUUAAAGCUUACCUCCACACCUCCACUUAAAGCUUCAAACAGCAAGCACGCAUAAGAUCCUGGAGGAGUCCCCCGAUUUCCAAUGCAGGAGGUUGUUUGGUGGCAGAGCUCUGCAAGUGUCCAACAGCAGGCAUUCCAUGGAGCCGUGCACUGGCGUGGAGUGCCAGCGUCUGAUAAAGAAAACGAAGAUACCCUAAUGAAGCAGGAAAAGUUCCUGGAUGACACAGAUCCAUCUCAAGGCUUUGGAUAAAAGGCUGAAGCAGGAGCAAUUGGAUACCAGAA